UACGUAGGGCGCAAGCGUUGUCCGGAAUUAUUGGGCGUAAAGAGCUCGUAGGCGGCCUGUUGCGUCCGCUGUGAAAUCCCGGGGCUCAACCCCGGGCCUGCAGUGGAUACGGGCUGGCUAGAGGCAGGCAGGGGGAGAACGGAAUUCCUGGUGUAGCGGUGAAAUGCGCAGAUAUCAGGAGGAACACCGGUGGCGAAGGCGGUUCUCUGGGCCUGUACUGACGCUGAGGCGCGAAAGCGUGGGGGAGCAAACAGG
rnacentral:rRNA from 1 species